CAUCAUCAUCUCCCUUUCCUCCACUUUCAUCCUCCUUCUAGCUAUUGCCCAAGUGCCCCCUCAGCCUUAGGAUGUCAGCAAGAAGAAGCUCCAUAGUUGGCUAGUCCUCCAUCUUCUCGAAAAAUCACUGUAAUGCUUGUAACGGUAGUGUUCUUUUUUUUCUUUAUCUUUUGUACCUUCUUCUUUAUAUGCAAUAGAAGACUUG
rnacentral:lncRNA from 1 species